rnacentral:rRNA from 1 species
GCGCGAGUCGUUGGGUCACUGCAAACCCAAAGGCGAAAUGAAAGUGAAGGAAAAGCUCCCCGCUUUCCGAGGGAGGAUGGGCGUGUCGGUCCACACCGUGGGCGGCGCCCCGCACUCCCGGGGCGUCUCCAGCUCACUGCGAGCGGAGGCGCACCUAGAGCGUACACGUUGGGACCCGAAAGAUGGUGAACUAUGCCUGGCCAGGACGAAGCCAGGGGAAACCCUGGUGGAGGUCCGUAGCGAUUCUGACGUGCAAAUCGAUCGUUAGAGCUGGGUAUAGGGGCGAAAGACCAAUCGAACCAUCUAGUAGCUGGUUCCCUCCGAAGUUUCCCUCAGGAUAGCUGGCACUCUCGUGUGACGAGUCUCAUCUGGUAAAGCGAAUGAUUAGAGGCCUUGGGGUCGAAACGACCUCAACCUAUUCUCAAACUUUAAAUAGAUGAGAACCCUGGCUUGCUUAAGGGUGAAGCCAGGGCUCGGAUCCGAGGGCCAAGUGGGCCAAUUUUGGUAAGCAGAACUGGCGCUGUGGGAUGAACCAAUCGCGGAGUUAAGGCGCCUAAAACGACGCUCAUCGGAACCCAUGAAAGGCGUUGGUUGCUUAAGACAGCAGGACGGUGGCCAUGGAAGUUGGAAUCCGCUAAGGAGUGUGUAACAACUCACCUGCCGAAGCAACUAGCCCUGAAAAUGGAUGGCGCUGUAGCGUCGUGCCUAUACUCCGCCGCCAACGGCGCACGGGGCGUCCCGCGAGGGACUCGCCCCGCUACGCCUUGGUGAGUAGGAGGGCCACGGCGAUGGCGUAGAAGGGUCCGGGCGUGAGCCCGCCUGGAGCCGUCGCCGCAGCAGAUCUUGGUGGUAGUAGCAAAUACUCCAGCGAGGCCCUGGAGGGCUGAUGUGGAGAAGGGUUUCUUGUGAACAGCUGUUGCACAAGAGUCAGUCGGUCCUAAGCCCUAGGAGAAAUCCGAUGCCGAUGGGUGCCGUUUCAGGAAUAUCCCCCCGCCGUCCCCCCGUGCCGCCUCGGCGUGGCCGGGCGACGUCGUCUCCCGUCCGGUGGGUUUGUCCCCACCGGCCGGUCGAGCCGUCGCCGGCGCUGGGCGGAGUGGAGGACGCGGGUCCCGCGGUGGCACCCUUGGUGGGCGAAAGGGAAUCCGGUUCCUAUUCCGGAACCUGGCUACGGAACCGUUCCAAGUCGGGCCCUCGGACGAGUGCUCGUCGGGGUAACCCAAAAGGUCCCGGAGACGCCGCCGGGAGAUCCGGGGAGAGUUGUCUCUUCUCUAUAAGCGUUCGAGUUCCCUGGAAACCUCUAGCAGGGAGAUAGGGUUUGGAACGCGAAAAGCGCCGCAGUUACAGCGGCGUCCGGAUCUUCCCCGCGGACCUUGAAAAUCCGGGUGAGGGCUACGAGGAACCCCGUGCCAGACCGUACCCAUAUCCGCAGCAGGUCUCCAAGGUGAAUAGCCUCUAGUCGUUAAAUAUGAGNNNNNNNNNNNNNNNCGCGGUUGUUCCCCGCCAAUAGGGAACGUGAGCUGGGUUUAGACCGUCGUGAGACAGGUUAGUUUUACCCUACUGAUAAACAAUCAUUGUGACGGUAAUCCUGCUCAGUACGAGAGGAACCGCAGAUUCGGACAUUUGGUUCACGCACUCGGUCGACAGACCGGUGGUGCGAGGCUACCAUCCGCGGGAUUAUGCCUGAACGCCUCUAAGGCCGAAUCCCGCCUGGCAGCCCCUGAUAUCCCUAAGGGGUCCCUUGAGUCGGAAGGCUCAAAACAAUGUGUCACUGUAGGCGGCCGCAAGGCCGUCGCCCGAGCCAUAUUGCCGCGGGGGCCCUCGCGCGGGUCCGGGCCGGCGACAGCCGGCCCGGGCUCCGGCCCCCGUGCGUAACAUGGGUCACCCACUGGGAGUUCGAUGUUGGGACCCGGAAUCGUCUGCAGACGACUUACGUACCGUAGCGGGGUGUUGUACUCGGGAGAGAGGU